rnacentral:lncRNA from 1 species
AAAGGCAAUCCAAUUCUUUUUAGUUUUGUCUUACCAGAUAUCGGAUCAGAGGAGAGGAGAGACGAGAAUAAGAGGAGGCGAAGACCUCGUCAACACAGAGGCGAAGAUGUCACCGGAUCGGAACAGAGGAGAGAAGAGAACGACCAGAGAAGAGAGGGUUCGAAGGGUUUGGCUAAAAUGAGCUGAAAAUGAGAGAGAGACCAAAGGGUUUGGCGAAGAAGAAGAGUUCGGGUGAUUCUGUGUAGCCGGUUCUAGUAUAAUCCCAUAGAACUCUCCAUUAUAACCAAUCAAAUGCUGACACGUGUAAUUUAAAUAAUAAAUAAUAAAUAAUAAAUAUAUAUAUAUAUGUAUAUAUAUCGGUUCGGUCG